rnacentral:tRNA from 1 species
GCCGUGGUGGCGGAAUGGCAUACGCGGAGGUCUCAAAAACCUCUGGGCUUCAUCGCCCGUGAGGGUUCAACUCCCUCCCACGGCACCA